rnacentral:rRNA from 1 species
UUCCGGUUGAUCCUGCUUCCUGACUGCUAUCGGAUUGAUACAGCAUGCUAGUCAUUGUAGGUACAAGGCAUACGGCUCAGUAACGCGUAGUCAACCUAACCUAUGGACGGGAAUAACCUCGGGAAACUGAGAAUAAUGCCCGAUAGAACACUAUACCUGGAAUGGUUUGUGUUCCAAAUGAUUUAUCGCCGUAGGAUGGGACUGCGGCCUAUCAGUUUGUUGGUGAGGUAAUGGCCCACCAAGACUAUUACAGGUACGGGCUCUGAGAGGAGUAGCCCGGAGAUGGGUACUGAGACACGGACCCAGGCCCUAUGGGGCGCAGCAGGCGAGAAAACUUUGCAAUGUGCGAAAGCACGACAAGGUUAAUCCGAGUGAUUUGUGCUAAACGAAUCUUUUGUUAGUUCUAGAAAUACUAACGAAUAAGGGGUGGGCAAGUUCUGGUGUCAGCCGCCGCGGUAAAACCAGCACCUCAAGUGGUCAGGAUGAUUAUUGGGCCUAAAGCAUCCGUAAGCCGGCUCUGGAAGUUUUCGGGUAAAAUCUGUACGCUUAACGACAGGCUGCGGGAAUACUGCAAGCUAGGGAUGGGAAAGGUAGACGGACUCGGUAGGAAGGGGUAAAAUCCUUUGAUUAUUGAUGACCACCUGUGGCGAAGGCGGUCUACCAGAACACGUCCGACGGUGAGGGAUGAAAGCUGGGGGAGCAAACCGGAUUAGAUACCCGGGUAGUCCCAGCUGUAAACUAUGCAAACUCAGUGAUGCAUUGACUUGUGGUCAAUGCAGUGCCGCAGGGAAGCCGUUAAGUUUGCCGCCUGGGAAGUACGUACGCAAGUAUGAAACUUAAAGGAAUUGGCGGGGGAGCACCACAAGGGGUGAAGCCUGCGGUUCAAUUGGAUUCAACGCCGGG